rnacentral:lncRNA from 1 species
GUGUGCAUGGAAAGAAGAGUGGAAAUGUGAAUGGCCAUUUGGCAAAUACUAAGGAGAUCUGGUAGGAUUAAGAGUAAAGGGGCACAGUCUCAAUAUUGCUGUGGUUACUUUUGAGGGCCAGGCUCUAUCUGCUGCAUGACCUGAAUUACUUAUUUUCUCUAUACCAUUCCUCAAUUUCUUUAUCAGUAGAAAUGAACAUACUAAGGUAAGGGUGUUGUUACAGUGAAAAUAAAAUAUAUUUAGCACAUCUGGAACAGUGCUUGAUGCUGAGUAAGUACUCAGAAUUAUUUUUCCCUUCCCUUGCCUUCCCCUCCCUUCCCCUCCCUUCCCCUCCCUUCCCCUCCCUUCCCCUCCCUUCCCCUCCCUUCCCCUCCCUUCCCCUGCCUUCCCCUCCCCUCCCCUUACCCUCCCCUUACCCUCUCCUUACCCUUCCCUUCCCCUUCCCUUCCCUCCUUUUGUGUGUCUGUUUACCUUUGUGGUGGCACUGUGGGGAUUCAUUAGCUUCCAAGGAGUUUACAGUAUAUUGAGGAAGAGAAACAAGAAAAUUGAACACAUUUGAAACGGGGUAAUUUAUGAGAACACAAAAGAGGGAUACAAAAAUCUAGCCUGGGCUGUGGGGAUUUCCAGGAAGCCUUCUUGUAGAAGAUGACUUCUGAACUGAGACUUAAAGGAUGAAUUGAAAUUUAUCAAGAGUAAAAUGUGUUACAGAUAGGAGGAAUAGGAUGCACAAGAUGAACUUAUGCCUUUUGAAGUUCCACAGGUAGUUUUAGUAUAGAACUAGGGUUGAAAAAUUAUAAUUUAAAAUUGUUUUUUAAUUCAGAAAAUUUGUAUAAGAAAACAGGCCUAGAAGAACUGUGCUAUUCUCUUUGCCUUUGCCUGUUUUCUGCAUCCCAGUUCCUCACUCCAUCCUGGUGACAUUUGUCUUUAGCCUUGCUUGGCAAUAUAGCUUAUAUGUUUUGUUGUUAUGCCAACUAUUAGAGAAGCCUGAUAGUAUACUGGGACAAUAUUGAGAAACUGCAUUUGUUUUUUUAAGUCUGAUAAAUGUUUUUUUUUUCUUAGAAAGUUGCAUGUUGACUAUAUCAGUUAUUUUACUUACCUUCACAAAGUGGGUCUUUGCCUAUUUUUAUCAGACUGAUCUUGUUAGAGAAUAAUCUUUGAUAUUCACUUUAGGUUAGUUGUUCUGGGUUACAUUAGCUUAUAAAUCAUAGAGCCUGAUUGAGAACUCCAGUGUUCUGAUUCCAAGAUCAUAUUUCUUUUUACUGUGUUUCAACAACAUUUAAAGACACUAAUCAUAAUCUGUUCUGUCUUUUUAUUUUUACUUUUUAUUUUUUUAUUUUUUGAGACAGAGUCUCACUCCAUCACCCAGGCUGGAGUGCAGUAGU